UUUCGGCUGGUAAUACAGCCAUAACAAUAACAGGCAGUGACAUUUGUUUUGAAGGCAAACAUCGAUACAAUAUUUCAUUCUGCGAUAACAUAACUUGUAUACCAUGCAGUGUACCUAGUGAGUUUGACUGUAAAAAAGCCUACAUUAAGGUUAGAACUGGACCAUCAUCAUUUUGUACGAAUAUGACAACGUUGAAGUUUGAAAUUGACGACUUCACAGAACUACAUUCUCAACGAUUUGAAUAUUUACCAGAUCCUACAAUAAUAUUUUCGAAUCAAACACUGAAAUCUUUACAAAGUGGAGGAGCAACAUUUAUAAUAAAUGGUGAUGGGUUUAGUCGUGUUGGCGAUAUAACUGUUGAAAGAGUG